rnacentral:misc_RNA from 1 species
AGAAGGAGGAAAGAGAGAGAGAGAGAGGCUGAAAUUUGUAUCUACUUUUUUGUUUGAUUUGUGAUUAUUGACAAGUGCUCUAAUAGCAUUCAAAUGUGAAACUAUUCAAAUGUUUAACUAGAUUUCUGCAUAGGCAAAUCACAAAUACUAUGACAGGUCUGGACUUGUAUAGUUGUAUGUAUAUAAGAAAACUGUAUUUUGCGUAUGUUAAUUACAUUCUUAUUUUUUUCUAUUGAAUAAUUGGGUUACCCAGUGGGGGCGAAUUUUCUCCUCUCUCGAGCAGUCUAAUUGUGGACAUGAGCAGAAUUGGAUCCCUGGUCUUUUGAAAUAAGGAUUUUACCGAGUAAUCUUCAGUUGGUUGUUCAUUGACCAUGUUCCUUAAUUUAUUCCUGGGGAAAAUCAUGAAAAUAUUUUCCACAAACCGUUUGGGGAGAAAGACUAUUUUCUCAGAAAUAGUAGCCUUUUUUAUUAUAAUUCAGCCAUUUAGGGAAGUAAAUUAUAGUUCCUAGUAAUGAAUUAAGAGUUUUUAAACAUGUGAUCAUGUGUUCCAUAGAUGAUAUAGUUGUUGACAACUAGUUUUUCUUAUAAAGUUUUGUGCUUUCGUUUAGAUAUAUGAUCUUGCUGAAUGCUUAAGAAUAGGGACACAUGAAUAUCGCUUUCAUCUAAUGAAAGCAGUGGGUUCACUUUGGUCCCAGCAAGAUGAUAAAGAUAAAAAGCCUAGGUGAAACCUCAUUUUCUCCUCCAAUUUUUUUCUAUUAAAUUUGGAUUACAUCUUUGUCUAUCUUUUAUGUUUGAUGCAUGACAAAGACAUGUUGCAUCACCUCUAAAUACGGUUUUCAUCAUUGGACUUUUAUAAAGCAUUAGGUUUUUGGCUAUGUUGGCUUUUAUCUUUCUUUUGUUUGGAUUUAUGAUUUGUUAUUUAAUCUUCUUUCAGUUCCUAUCCAUGGCCCUGGUUUAAGACUGAGAUUGAUAAUGACUGUAGUGGUAGUUGAAUGAAUGAGAUAGCUUGUGGGUGCUAACAGUUCCACAAAAAUGAGUAAUUGUAAGGAGAUGAGGCCAAAUUAAUGGGAAAAAAAUAGGCGAUAGAAAAAGAAGACUGCUCAUUAUGGUAGCAAGGAAAACUUGUUAACUUAGUUGGAGACCAUAUAUUUAUAUGCAUACAACUCAGCUCAACCCAACUCAACCAAGCCUUUAUCCCA